CGGCUCCCCACCCCACCUGACCCGACCCGACCCGAACAAAACGGGUCUCUGUGCACCCUAAAUUCACUCCUUCUCUUCUCUUCAAAUUACUUCUCCGGUGGUCUAAUGGUCUCUUACUGUUUGUGCUCACAAUUCACAAGAUUAUUCUUCUCAUUCUGAAGAUGUCAAAGUAUUUAAAGAUGUUAAAUCAUUACAUGAAGAAUAAAGAUUGUUCAAAUUUUGAAAAAGGAGAGAAGAAAUAAGAGUAUGAAGAAGCUUGGCUUUGCUUUAUGCUUGAACAUAUUCAACCUCAACAAUGGAGGUGUAUUCCAAAGGAGGACUCUCACUAAUUCAACAUAUUCAGAACUGCCUCAGUUUUCUCAAACCAUAGCUUCGGUACAGUCCAUCUUCUCCAAUCCCUAUUUUUCUCUUCUGGGUAUCUGCAGAAACAUUGACUCCCUCAAGAAAAUUCAUGCUUUGCUCAUAUUAAAUGGCUUAACCGAAGAUAUUAUAUGCAACAAUAAAUUGGUUAGUUUGUAUGGUUCCUUUGGGUAUAUUCGAUAUGCACGACAACUCUUCAAUCAAAUGCCUAACCCGGAUUUUUAUUCAUGGAAAGCGAUGCUUAGGUGGUAUUUCUUGAAUGAGUUUUAUUUUGAGGUUUUAAGGUUUCAUAAUCACAUGAGACCGCGCGUGAAAGAGAAUGAUAAUAUUGUUUUCUCGAUCGUGUUGAAGGCAUGCAGUGAGUUGCGUAAUGUUGAAGAAGGGAGGAAGGUGCAUUGCCUAAUUGAGAAGGCGGGAAAUCCUGAUAGCUUUGUGUUGACGGGAUUGGUUGAUAUGUAUGCGCGAUGUGGAUGGAUUGAGAAUUCUCGAGCUGUUUUCGAUGGAAUUCUUGAUCGAAAUGUGGUCUCUUGGACUACAAUGAUUGUCGGGUAUGUGCAGAAUGACUGUGCCAAAGAAGGUUUGGCUUUGUUUAAUAGGAUGAGAGAGGGUUUUGUUGAAUGCAAUGAGGUCACAUUAGGGAGCUUAAUCAAAGCCUGUACGAAAAUAGGAUCUUUGCAUCAAGGAAAAUGGUUUCAUGGAUAUGUUAGUAAAAGCGGCUUUGAACUUAAUUAUGUCUUAGGUACAGCUCUUCUAGACAUGUACGUCAAGUGUGACAGCAUUGGAGAUGCUCGUUGUGUGUUUGAUGAGCUAUCAACAGUUGACCUUGUGUCAUGGACGGCAAUGAUUGUCGGCUACUGUCAGACUGGUCAUCCGGACAAGGCUUUGAAUUUAUUUACUAACAGUAAAUGGGUUGGUUUUCAACCAAAUUCAAUCACCACAGCCAGUUUGCUUUCAUCAUGUGCACAGUUGAGUAAUUUGAGUUUGGGGAUGGCAAUUCAUGGUCUUGGGGUUAAACUUGGUUUGGAAGACUCGAUAGUUAGAAAUGCUCUGGUGGACAUGUAUGCAAAAUGCCAUAUGCUCGGUGAUGCCCGUUAUGUCUUUGAAAUGGUUUUGGACAAGAAUGUGAUAGCAUGGAAUUCAAUCAUUUCUGGAUACUCACAAAAUCGGUAUGCAUACAAAGCUCUUCAAAUGUUCCAUCGAAUGAGAUCAGAGUCAUUUGUGCCCGAUGCUAUCACACUAGUCAGUGUCCUUUCAGCUUGUGCUUUCCUUGGUUAUCUUCGAGUUGGUUCAUCGCUCCACGCUUACUCUAUAAAGAGGGGCUUAAUGACAAACAAUGUGGUUGUGGGGACUGCACUGCUGAACUUUUACGCCAAAUCUGGGGACACUGAAUCUGCACGUAUAGUUUUCGAUGGAAUGGAAGAGAAGAAUAGUAUAACUUGGAGCACAAUGGUUGAUGGUUAUGGGAUACAAGGCGACAACAAUGAAUGUUUUACACUCUUCGAUGAAAUGUUGAAGAACGAUAUUCAACCCGAUGAAGAAACCUUCACAACUAUUCUAUCAGCAUGUAGUCAUUCAGGAAAGGUUCAGGAGGGUUGGAGGUAUUUCAAUCUAAUGUGUCAACACUAUAAGUUUGUGCCUUCCAUGAAGCAUUACACAUGUAUGGUCGAUAUGUUGGCUCGUGAUGGAAAACUUGAGGAGGCCAUGGAGUUCAUUAAAAAUUUACCCGUUCAACCAGAUGUGAGUUUGUUGGGAGCUUUUCUUCAUGGAUGUGAAUUCUAUUCGAGGUUAGAUCUUGGAGAAAUCGUUAUCAGGAAAAUGCUGGAGCUCAACCCUCAGAAGGCUUGUUAUUAUGUGCUCAUGUCUAACCUUUAUGCCUCGGUUGGAAGGUGGAGUGAGGUUAAUCAGGUGAGAGAGAUGUUGAAGGAGAGAGGAUUCAGUAAGUGUCCUGCGAGUAGCAUGGUGGAGAUGAAUAAUGAUAUUUCGGUUGCAAGAGUGGCAUGUUUUGCUUAGUUAUGUGGUCUCUUUUCGGGAUGAGAUCCUCACACGACACAAGGGCAUUUCGGCGAGGCAUGAGAUAAGACUUCAAUCACUCAGAGUUGGAUUGAUGAAUUGAGAAAGACAAUGUACUAUAAAUAGUGUUGGGUAGAGUGGACAGAAUCACUGUGAAGACCUGUAGAGUAGACACCCUCAAAGACCGUUCAUAUGCGUAGAAAAUAUUGGCAUAUGAGAUGAGAUGAUAUGAUUUUGUGAAAAGACUCCAAAUAUGUACUGUUAUAUUCUGCCCUUUCGGAAGCUUGGUGUUUUGCGUUUUAUUAUACAUAAAAGGCCACAUGGCACCGUCUUCAUCUGAUUCUGGCUUAUCUGGGAAUAUCAUAAUUGAUUUCUAUUGGGCAAGUGUGAUUCUUCAGUGAUUUCUGUUUUUCUAUUAACUAAAGUUGGGAUGUAGUAAAUUAGGAGAAAACUGUGAUGGGUAAAGAUUAAGAAGGUGCAUGCAUAUUCAGGAAUGUUGAUGCCAUGUUCCGAUAUAACUUCAUCUAAGUUUACUCAAUAGGAUAGGUUUUUUGGAGUGUGACAUUCUUUGUAAGCAUAUUGAACUGUCUAAAUACUAAUUAUAAAUAGCAAUAGUUCAUUGCUUGAUUUAUUCAUUUGUCUCUUCUUUAAUUUAAAAUCAAGAAUAAAAUUAGCACUAGUCUUGGCACCAACUGUCAAAAUGACUUUGAGUGGAAUUGUGGUGGUGGUGGUGGUUGUUAAGUUUUUUUAUUUUCAUUUUUACUAUUUCAAUUUGCUGGAGAAUAUGAGCCUUGUAGCAUCUUAAGCUCUGCUGGAUUACCAACUAUAUGUAAUUGUUGUCAUUAUUGAAAACUUCCCGAACCAUAACUACCUGACACCUUUCUUUGACUUUUACUCCUUGUUAAUAUCCUUUUAAAUUUAAUUGCCUUUCUGCAGGGUAUGGAACUCUAUCAUCGCAUUGGUAAAAACUUUGACAUUAAAGUUUUUACAAAUUCCAGAUUCGGAAUGAUGUCUUGGGCAGUUUUAGUUGUAACCUAUUGCAUAAAGUAGGUAGCGUCUAUGAAUGGUGCCUAUUUAUGUCAGUAAUUAUUCAUCACAUUGUUUAUGUCUAGUGUUGGUUGAUGUACCAGUAUGUUUUAGGGCCAAAAGUUUGUUGGCUUACAAUUUGAAAUAUGUGGGAGCGAGUAGUCAUCUGAUAUUGUGAUCUUAUACUGCUAAAAUUUUAUUGCUUUGCAACAAAAUCUCUACAAUCCAUUUCCAGUGGCCGAUCAUUUUUCCUCUUGUUCAAGGAUUGUUUCUCUGUAUAAUUUAUUUGGUCAAAAAGAACAUUUAAUCGUACUUUACUGAGUGCCUGUGCAGUUGGUCUGGUGGUUAUUUCUUACCUCUAAAUCAGACUCGACCUUCCUGUUUAAAACUUUCACAAUCAGAUUGCUAUAUGGACACACUGUACGUUUCUUUUGCUAGUAUUUAACUUAUUUCUUUUUUCUUUUUUUCCAGUAUGAAGUGAAUGGUAAAGUUGCUGAUUCGAUGCUUGUUAAUACUAUAUUGAUGCUGGUGUAUGUUACUAAGUUUUUUUGGUGGGAAGCUGGAUACUGGAGCACAAUGGAUAUUGCACAUGAUCGAGGUUCUACUAUGAAGUUAUUAUCAUUAUAGUCUCUUUCUUCUAUUAAAGAUCAUAGUUACUUUCCCUUUAACCUUUUUCAUCUAUUGCUGUAUAUGAUCCAAAUUACUUGGAUUGGCUGACAUGGCAUACCAAAUUGUUGGCAUUAAUUUGAGCAGAUAAAUUAUUUCUACAACUUAAGUUUUAACUCAGAUUAGGAGAGAAAAAGAAUAAUUAUUAAAUAAAUGCUGAAUUUAUCUAUUGUUUCUUUCCCUUUC